rnacentral:rRNA from 1 species
GAUGAACGCUAGCGGCAGGCCUAGCACAUGCAAGUCGAGGGGCAGCACAGAAACAGCAAUGUUUUGGUGGCGACCGGCGGACGGGUGCGUAACGCGUAUGCAACCUACCUUUAACAGGGGGAUAACGGAGAGAAAUUUCCACUAAUACCCCAUAACAUCGAUCAAGGCAUCUUGAUUGGUUGAAAACUCCGGUGGUUAAAGAUGGGCAUGCGUUGUAUUAGGUAGUUGGUGAGGUAAUGGCUCACCAAGCCUACGAUACAUAGGGGGACUGAGAGGUUAGCCCCCCACACUGGUACGGAGACACGGACCAGACUCCUACGGGAGGCAGCAGUGAGGAAUACUGGUCAAUGGGGGCAACCCUGAACCAGCCAUGCCGCGUGCAGGAAGACGGCUCUAUGAGUUGUAAACUGCUUUUAAACAGGGAUAAAGCACAGUAUGUAUACUGUGUUGAAGGUACUGUAAGAAUAAGGAUCGGCUAACUCCGUGCCAGCAGCCGCGGUAA